rnacentral:lncRNA from 1 species
AGGAUAAUGCCCUCACUUGAUAAAAGGAGAGACUCUCUGUCAGCUGCCCGCAUCCUCCCUGAAGCUCUGGAAUCUGACUUCAUGGAGCAUUUGAGCAGCUAAGCUUUUCCUGACCCCCUCCCUCCCACCACCACUCCCGCCUUCCCCCAGUUGCUGAGCAUAAUUGAGAAUUAAUUGCAUGUCUGCUUAUUAUUUUGCUUACUUAAUUUGGUCUAAACGUUGUUCACACUCCAGACUUAAGGCCUGGAAGUGGCUGUCUUCAGUAGGAGACUUGGGAGUGCUCUCCUGUAGGAUCCAAGACUUCUCAUCUUUCCGAUGCGAACUGAAUUAUGCUAGCAUGUCAACCAGGACAUUUCAGAGAAGCAUCGAACAGAAACGUGUUAGUAAACCUCUUACCAGAACACCCUCACUAUCGAUUUUUUUUUGUCACUAAAACACAAACCAGCAUGGGACAUUAAACAGGACCUUUGGUAUUUGGUGUUGGGAAAAUGCCCCCUUGGAUCUAGAGCUCUUUAGGAGUAAUGGCUUCCCGAAAAGAACUAUAGAGAAAAAGAAGGCAGAAUAACCCAGGUGCCUGAGCAUCUUUGAGGAGGCCCCGAUGUGACUACCUGAAACCAGUCUAUGUCAGCACUUCUUGCUACCUGAGAUAUACAUUAUUCAUGGUUUAAGCCAUUCUGAGUCAGGACUUUUUUUUUAUUGAAACUCGGAGCUGGAAAUAGCCAAGUUUACCCACCAAGAAUAACAUCUGGAUUAUGAACCCUGGAAAUAUAACCACUGUCAUUUUGUGUCCCUGGACUAUAUUAAGCUCUACCACAUGGUUUCCAACUUGAGAGUCACUUGAACAAGAGGAGAAGAAUAGGGGCGAAUGGCAAAACCCUGUCCCUUUUAUGGAGGAUUGUCCUCCGCCUCGGACAUGUCGCUCCCUGAUUGGCUGCAGCCCAUCAACCGAGUUGUCGUCAAGGGGAAGGCAGAGCACAUGGAGUGGAGAACUACCCCGGCACAUGCGCAGAUUAUUUGUUUACUACUUAGAACACAGGAUGUCGGCGCCAUCUUGUAAUGGUGAAUGUGAGGGUGGCUCCUCACAACAUCCCUUUAAUCCCAGUACUGAAGGCAGAGGCAGGUGGAUUUCUGAGUCUGAAGACAGCCUGGUAUAGAGAGCUAGUUCCAGGGCUAUACAAGAAGACUCUGUCUUGCAAAAAAUGAAACAAAACAAAAUAAAACAAAUGAAUAAACAAAAAGAAAGAAGCUUCAAUUUUUAUAAAAUAAAAACUAAUUUACUUUA